GCCCGGGUGGCGAAAUUGGUAGACGCACUACUUUGAGGUGGUAGCGCCCGAAAGGGUGUGCUGGUUCGAAUCCAGUCUCGGGCA
rnacentral:tRNA from 1 species